rnacentral:tRNA from 1 species
CCGCUGCGUACUCCACCGUUUUGAGCAUCAGACUACGAAUCUGAGGGUCGGACGUUCGAAUCGUUCCGGGCGCGCCA